CUUCAGGAGUUCCCGUCAUGGCGCAGUGGUUAACGAAUCCGACUAGGAACCAUGAGGUUGCGGGUUCGGUCCCUGCCCUUGCUCAGUGGGUUAACGAUCCGGCGUUGCCGUGAGCUGUGGUGUAGGUUGCAGACGCGGCUCGGAUCUGGCGUUGCUGUGGCUCUGGCGUAGGCCGGUGGCUACAGCUCCGAUUCGACCCCUAGCCUGGGAACCUCCAUAUGCCGCGGGAGCGGCCCAAGAAAUAGCAACAAUAACAACAACAAAAAAGACAAAAAAAGACAAAAAAAAAAAAAAAAAAAAAAGACUGACUUCAACUAAGUGAAGAUCAGAGAGAACAUAAAACUAGCAAAAUUGAGAGCUCCAAGCUGUUGAGGCCUUGUCUUCAAACUGCCAAGCUACCUGAUGGCUUACUAACAAAGAGACAAGUGAAUCUAUUGAAUCCCCCCCCCUUUUUUUUCUGCUGACCUGGAAAUAAUGCAAACUUCCUCUUUUCACAGCUGUGUGCCAACCACAAUGCAAACGUGGUGAAUGUGUCGGAUCCAGCAAGCAGCAUCCUGGGUGUGCUGGAAAAACCUGCAGUGCAGGAAGCCCCCUUUGAGGAUAAAAGAAUUCAUCUAAGAGUCAGACCCCUUCCUGGCUGGUGUGUCCGUGUCUGUCAGAUGACAAGCCGUGGGGAGUCAAUAGCACCCUCACCCCACUCCAUCUGUGAUCCCGGAGAACAAGAGAAGAGGGAAGCAGAUCCCGCUCCUGUGAUUUCAAUUACAGGGAGGUGAAAAAUUAUUUGAUAUCCGAGCUUGCUAAAGGCGCCCAUUCCUUCUGCUCCAAAGAUCUUUCCCUCGAAACUGAACAAAAGAGGAGAAAGAAGUUUCGAUGCAUAUUGAGGGGAAGGGGAGUGGGGAGAAAGCCAGCACAGCAGGCAGAGAGUUGAUGACAAUGCAGACAAAAGAAAGAACUUCUUAAGAUUCUUUCUAAGAAAUGGAAUUCGCCCGGCACUGGUUCUUUUAUUAGAACCUUUCUCGCCCUCUCCCUUGCUCUGUAUCUCCCAC
rnacentral:lncRNA from 1 species